rnacentral:rRNA from 1 species
CCUACGGGAGGCAGCAGUGAGGAAUAUUGGUCAAUGGACGCAAGUCUGAACCAGCAAUGCCGCGUGCAGGAAGACGGCUCUAUGAGUUGUAAACUGCUUUUGUACGAGGGUAAACGCAGAUACGCGUAUCUGUCUGAAAGUAUCGUACGAAUAAGGAUGGCCUACCUCGGGCCCGGCGGCGGCGGUAAUACGGAGGGUUCAAGCGUUAUCCGGGUUUUUUGGGUUUAAAGGGUCCGUAGGCGGUAGGACAAGUUAGAGGUGAAAUCCCGAGGCUCAACUUCGGAAUUGCCUUUGAUACUGUUCGGCUAGAGAGUAGUUGCGGUAGGCGGAAUGUAGGGUGUAGCGGUGAAAUGCUUAGAGAUCAUACAGAACACCGAUUGCGAAGGCAGCUUACCAAGCUACUUCUGACGUUGAGGCACGAAAGCGUGGGGAGCAAACAGGAUUAGAUACCCUGGUAGUC